rfam:Clostridia bacterium 41_269 MPF_scaffold_4, whole genome shotgun sequence.
GUCAACUACCCACCGCUUAUAGAAGCGGGGGCUUGCAGAAAUGCAAGCUCGGUUGAUUAGCCUCAGACACCAGCCGAAAGGCUGAUGGGGCUACGUUAUGCAGGAAUAUAUAGGCACUGCAGGAUGCUCCACAAGUCCUGCACACUGCGGGCAGUGGUUAAACAUCUCUGAGGGGUAGGAGAAGUGCUGCUGCUGUAAAACCCUGCAUAACUUUGGCGAUGUGGACCUAC